rnacentral:rRNA from 1 species
AUUGGCUAAUACAAAUAGAUCCGUAGAUUUCCGAAUAGGGUAACCUAUUCUGAUGAAGUCAGAAUAUCUUAAUAAACAAUUAAGAUGCAAACCUGGAGAACUGAAACAUCUAAGUAACCAGAGGAAAAUAAAACAAUAGUGAUUCUGUUAGUAGUGGCGAGCGAAAACGGAAUAGCCCAAACUAUUUUAACUUAAAUUUUAAAAUAGGGUAGUAGGACUAAAGUUAAAACUAAAUCAAGAACUUAAAUUAUUUGGAAAAAUAUACUAUAAAAGGUGAUAGUCCUGUCAAGGUAAAUGAUUUAGUUUUUUUUGGUAUCCUGAGUAAAUCGAAACUGGAGAAAUUUUGAUUGAAUUUGCCGGCACCAUCCGGUAAGGCUAAAUACUACUGAGAGACCGAUAGUGUACAAGUACCGUGAGGGAAAGGUGAAAAGUACUCUGAAUAAGAGAGUGAAAAGUUCCUGAAACUAUACGUUUACAAGCGGUUGAAGUUUUAAUACACAAUACUUAUUAGAACGACAGCGUGCCUUUUGCAUAAUGAGCCUACGAGUUAAUCUUUUUUGGCAAGGUUAAUUUUUUAAAAAAAAGAAGCCGGAGCGAAAGCGAGUUUUAAUAGAGCGAUUUAGUCAAAAGAGUUAGACGCGAAACUUGGUGAUCUACCCAUGAUCAGGCUGAAGUAUUGGUAAAACAAUAUGGAGGGCCGAACUAUUAGAUGUUGCAAAAUCUUUAGAUGAAUUGUGGGUAGGGGUGAAAGGCCAAUCAAACUAAGAAAUAGCUCGUACUCUUCGAAAUGCUUUUAGGAGCAGCCUUGAAUAAUAUACUAUCAGGGGUAGAGCUACCGAUAAAAUAAGAGGAAGUUAAAUUUUAUCUUGUUUAGACGAACUCCGAAUACUGUUUAGUUUUUUUUCAGGAGAGAGGGUUAGGGUGCUAAGGUCCUAAUCCAAAAGGGAAAGAACCCAGAUCAUCAGCUAAGGUCCCAAAAUUUAUACUAAGUUGAACUAAGGAAGUUUAUUUGCUAAGACAGCUAGAAUGUUGGCUUGGAAGCAGCCAUCAUUUAAAGAGUGCGUAACAGCUCACUAGUUAAGCAAAAAAGCGUCAAUAAUAAGCGGGCAUUAAGUAUAAUACCGAAGCUAUGACUUUAUUUGUUUUAACAAAUUAAAGGGUAGAAGAGCAUUCCAAUUGAGUUGAAGUUAAAAAGAAAUUUUUGGUGGAUUUUUUGGAAGAGAAAAUGUAGGCAUAAGUAACGAAAAUAAUAGCGAGAAACUAUUACACCGUAAAACUAAGGUUUUCACGGCUAUGAUAAUCAACCGUGAGUUAGUCGGUCCCUAAAAAUUAAUCGAAAGGUGAAAUUGAUGGAUAAUCGUUUAAUAUUCCGAUACUAGCUAGUAAUAGAAAUGAAGAGACGAAGAAGUGAAAAUUUUGCCCUGUGACGGAAAUCAGGGUUAAAGCUUGUAGGUAUAAAUAUAAUAGGAAAAUCCAUUAUGUUUGCUGAAAGUUAUAGUACUAUGAUCCUUUUUUAGGAAAUUAGAUAAUAAAUUUAAUCAUACUUCCAAGAAAAUCUUCUAAUUGAUAUUAUUUAUUAGCUAUCCGUACCGUAAACCAACACAGGUAGUUGAGGAGAGUAUCCUAAGGUGUUCGAGUGAUUCGUGGCUAAGGAACUAGGCAAAAAUACUCCGUAACUUCGGGAGAAGGAGUGCCUAACUUUAUAAAUAACUUAAAGUUGUUUAUAAUGAAAGGCCGCAGUGAAAAGAUCUGGACGACUGUUUACCAAAAACACAUGGCUUUGCAAAAUUGAAAAAUUAAGUAUAAGGCCUGACACCUGCCCGGUGCCGGAAGGUUAAUAAAAUUUGUUAGAUUAUAAUUUUAAUCGAAGCAUUUAAUAGAAGCCCCGGUAAACGGCGGCCGUAACUAUAACGGUCCUAAGGUAGCGAAAUUCCUUGUCGGGUAAGUUCCGACCUGCACGAAUGGGGUGUAACGAUCCGGGUACUGUCUCGGUCACGAGCUCGGUGAAAUUGAAGUAGCGGUGAAGAUGCCGUUUAUCCGCAACGGGACGGAAAGACCCCAUGAACCUUUACUAUAGUUUAAUAUUGUUAAUAUAUAUGUAAUGUGUAGGAUAGGUGGGAGAUUAUGAUUUUUUAAUGCUAGUUAAAAAGGAGUCGACCUUGAAAUACCACCCUUUAUAUAUUUAUUAUCUCAUCUUUUUUAUUUAAAGAGACAUUGUUAAAUGGGUAGUUUGACUGGGGUGGUCGCCUCCAAAAGAGUAACGGAGGCUUUCAAAGGUACCCUCAAUUCGAAUGGUAAUCGUAUUUAGAGUGCAAUAAUACAAGGGUGCUUGACUGUGAGACAAACAAGUCGAGCAGGGUCGAAAGACGGAUAUAGUGAUCCGGUGGUUUCUAUAUGGGAAGGCCAUCGCUCAAAGGAUAAAAGGUACUCUGGGGAUAACAGGCUGAUCUCCCCCAAGAGAUCUAAUCGACGGGGAGGUUUGGCACCUCGAUGUCGGCUCGUCACAACCUGGAGCUGAAGCAGGUUCCAAGGGUUGGGCUGUUCGCCCAUUAAAGUGGCACGCGAGCUGGGUUCAGAACGUCGUG